GACGUAGGGCGCGAGCGUUGUCCGGAAUUACUGGGCGUAAAGAGCUCGUAGGUGGUUUGUCGCGUUGUCCGUGAAAACUCACAACUCAAUUGUGGGCGUGCGGGCGAUACGGGCAGACUGGAGUACUGCAGGGGAGACUGGAAUUCCUGGUGUAGCGGUGGAAUGCGCAGAUAUCAGGAGGAACACCGGUGGCGAAGGCGGCUCACUGGCCCGCAACUGACGCUGAGGCGCGAAAGCGUGGGGAGCAAACAGG
rnacentral:rRNA from 1 species